rnacentral:rRNA from 1 species
AUGAACUCUCCAAUCUACCCCUUUACCUCGGACAUGGUCUCUUUACCACCAAUUACCGAUUUCUCAUUCGUGGAGGCAAUAUGUGAUAAUCAAGGAAACAUAGAAGGUUAUUGUCUUUUUAACGAUGAAUUCUAUGAUGCAAAAGAUCUGGCAACAUGGUUCUUCCAGAAGGCAGUUUUGUCCUGUACUCCAUCCAAAGGGGGCAACUACAUUGUCAUGAUCAUUCAUUAUGAUAGCAAUUGGCUCUCUUUUGUUAGGGCAGGAGAGGGCAAGUGGCAAGUGGUCUCAACUUCAGCUAGAAGGGUACAAAAUCGGUAUGCAGACUGUGCAUACCACAAUGGGAGUUUUUACACUGUGACAUGCCAUGGAAUAGUAGAGAAAUAUUAUCUUGAUGGACCGAAUGGACCAACAAAGGAGGCAAUUAUUGCACAUAGUACCUAUUCAAGUGUUCUUACUAGGAACUUGGUGUCUACACCAUGGGGUGAUCUCUUGCAAGUCCGGGCCAUUUCUGCAAAUCGUGUGGAUCGUGUGAGAUUUCAAAUUGCCAAGGUUCAUCCUGAAGGAUGCAAGAAGGUAUCACCGGACGACUUGGUAGAGCAUGCAAUAUUCGUUGGACUGAAUCACUCGACAUGUUUACCCUCGAAGAAUUUCCCAGGUUUAAGACCUCAAUGUAUCUAUUUCUCAUCUCCUUGGAUGACAGCGACAUUUGAUUUGGUUGCCCGUUGUCGUGGAUGGGGAGGUGUAAGGUCAUAUGACAUAGAAAGAAGAGUCUUUGAGCAUGCUUUUCCCUUCGUAGGGAAUACUUGGGGCCAGUGUGUCUUCGGAAGCUCGUAUGUGUCAUAA